rnacentral:lncRNA from 1 species
AUACGAUACAUAAAGACAAUACUAACACAUAAUAUGGUAAAAUAUAUUGUCAUUUUAUGAGUGCAGUAUCCCUAAGCAGAUAAGUGUAUGAGACAAUUUGCUGAUAUUUUAUCACGGAUAACCAAUGAAAGUUCUAAAGCUUGUUUCCAAUGGGGUCCCUUCAUGUAAACGGCUUAUAGUGUUCGGCAUACAAAAAAAGAUAACACACAAAUUAGUAUGACAUGAAAAUUCAUAUAAAAAGUAAUUUAUAUAAAAAUAUGAUUAAUAAUACAAGUUUUAAUUUUAAUACGCUAGAAGUGCAUUUUGUCCACACAAAACUUACUAGUGACGCCCAGAUACAAAAGUUUGAAAGACGAAACAAGUACAAAGUUGAACAGCAUCGCGGACCAAAAGUUCAAAAAAGUUAUGCCAAAAACGGCCAGGGUUUUCUGUUAGGUACCAGAACAUCCCUAUUAUUUAGAAUAAUUCAUACUUUUGCAAACAGUAAAUUUUAUAAAAUUACUAUACAAAAGAUAUACAUGAUAAAACUGAAGUAUUAACUAAUUACAGGAAACAACCGAAAUACAUUACAUAACCCGACAAA